GUUGUUGAUUUGAUCUUCUCUGUUUCCGAAGUCUCCUCCUUCAACGAAGUGGUUGGUCUUCUUGGUCCAUCCUCCAGUUGGG
rnacentral:sRNA from 1 species